GUCAGUGUGGCCGAGUGGUUAAGGCGAUAGACUAGAAAUCUAUUGGGUUCGCCCGCACAGGUUCGAGUCCUGUCGCUGACG
rfam:Aspergillus parasiticus ST-1 392, whole genome shotgun sequence.